rnacentral:rRNA from 1 species
UACGUAGGUGACAAGCGUUAUCCGGAAUUACUGGGCGUAAAGCGCACGCAGGCGGCGCAUUAAGUCUGACGUGAAAUCUCCUGGCUUAACUGGGAGGGGUCGUUGGAGACUGGUGUGCUUGAGGCGAUGAGAGGGGUGUAGAAUUCCCGGUGUAGUGGUGGAAUGCGUAGAUAUCGGGAGGAAUACCAGUGGCGAAAGCGACACCCUGGCAUUAGCCUGACGCUCAGGUGCGAAGGCGUGGGGAGCGAACGGG